UUUCGCGCUAUGAAGUGGAAAAGAGGAAAGGCUCCGCCCACAUAACCCCAAGACGAAGGAGAAAAAAGCAGAGCGAGUGAAGGAAUGGAAACGGCAACAUCCUUUCUGGAAACGGAUGAAUCAGUACAUUCACUGGGGUACCAUGGCGACGUUCUCAUUCUGAGG